AUUGAACGCUGGCGGAAUGCUUUACACAUGCAAGUCGAACGGCAGCACGGGGGCAACCCUGGUGGCGAGUGGCGAACGGGUGAGUAAUACAUCGGAACGUGCCCAGUCGUGGGGGAUAACGUAGCGAAAGUUACGCUAAUACCGCAUACGAUCUACGGAUGAAAGCGGGGGAUCGCAAGACCUCGCGCGCUUGGAGCGGCCGAUGUCAGAUUAGGUAGUUGGUGGGGUAAAGGCCUACCAAGCCGACGAUCUGUAGCUGGUCUGAGAGGACGACCAGCCACACUGGGACUGAGACACGGCCCAGACUCCUACGGGAGGCAGCAGUGGGGAAUUUUGGACAAUGGGCGCAAGCCUGAUCCAGCCAUUCCGCGUGCAGGAUGAAGGCCUUCGGGUUGUAAACUGCAUUUGUACGGAGCGAAAAGGCUCUCUCUAAUACAGGGGGCUCAUGACGGUACCGUAAGAAUAAGCACCGGCUAACUACGUGCCAGCCGCCGCAGUAAUAC
rnacentral:rRNA from 1 species